rnacentral:rRNA from 1 species
UAGCUAGUUGGUGAGGUAAAGGCUUACCAAGGCGACGAUCUGUAGCGGGUCUGAGAGGAUGAUCCGCCACACUGGAACUGAGACACGGUCCAGACUCCUACGGGAGGCAGCAGUGGGGAAUUUUGGACAAUGGGGGCAACCCUGAUCCAGCCAUGCCGCGUGAGUGAAGAAGGCCUUCGGGUUGUAAAGCUCUUUCGGCCGGGAAGAAAUCGCAUGGGCCAAUACCCUGUGUGGAUGACGGUACCGGAAUAAGAAGCACCGGCUAACUACGUGCCAGCAGCCGCGGUAAUACGUAGGGUGCGAGCGUUAAUCGGAAUUACUGGGCGUAAAGCGUGCGCAGGCGGUUUUGUAAGACAGGCGUGAAAUCCCCGGGCUUAACCUGGGAACUGCGUUUGUGACUGCAAGGCUAGAGUACGGCAGAGGGGGGUGGAAUUCCACGUGUAGCAGUGAAAUGCGUAGAGAUGUGGAGGAACACCAAUGGCGAAGGCAGCCCCCUGGGUCGAUACUGACGCUCAUGCACGAAAGCGUGGGUAGCAAACAGGAUUAGAUACCCUGGUAGUCCACGCCCUAAACUAUGUCAACUAGGUGUUGGGUGGGUAAAACCAUUUAGUACCGUAGCUAACGCGUGAAGUUGACCGCCUGGGGAGUACGGCCGCAAGGUUAAAACUCAAAGGAAUUGACGGGGACCCGCACAAGCGGUGGAUGAUGUGGAUUAAUUCGAUGCAACGCGAAAAACCUUACCUACCCUUGACAUGCCAGGAACUUGCCAGAGAUGGCUUGGUGCCCGAAAGGGAGCCUGGACACAGGUGCUGCAUGGCUGUCGUCAGCUCAUGUCGUGAGAUGUUGGGUUAAGUCCCGCAACGAGCGCAACCCUUGUCGUUAAUUGCCAUCAUUUAGUUGGGCACUUUAACGAGACUGCCGGUGACAAACCGGAGGAAGGUGGGGAUGACGUCAAGUCCUCAUGGCCCUUAUGGGUAGGGCUUCACACGUCAUACAAUGGUCGGUACAAAGGGUUGCCAAGCCGCGAGGCGGAGCCAAUCCCAGAAAGCCGAUCGUAGUCCGGAUUGCAGGCUGCAACUCGCCUGCAUGAAGUCGGAAUCGCUAGUAAUCGUGGAUCAGCAUGUCACGGUGAAUACGUUCCCGGGUCUUGUACACACCGCCCGUCACACCAUGGGAGCGGGUUCCGCCAGAAGUAGGUAGCCUAACCGCAAGGGGGGCGCUUACCACGGCGGGGUUCGUGACUGGGGUGAAGUCGGAACAAGGUAGCCGUAGGGGAACCUGCGGCUG